rnacentral:rRNA from 1 species
UACGUAGGUGGCAAGCGUUGUCCGGAAUUAUUGGGCGUAAAGCGCGCGCAGGCGGUCCUUUUAAGUCUGAUGUGAAAGCCCACGGCUCAACCGUGGAGGGUCAUUGGAAACUGGGGGGACUUAGUGCAGGAGAGAAGAGUGGAAUUCCACGUGUAGCGGUGAAAUGCGUAGAGAUGUGGAGGAACACCAGUGGCGAAGGCGGCUCUCUGGAACGCAACU